rnacentral:lncRNA from 1 species
GAGCAAUGGAAAAGGGCUAUGCAGGCCCAGACUGGAGCGUCUAAUGGACUUUGGGAACUACAACCACUCCUCUCUGCGGAGGGAACCUGCUUUCUCCUCAUGGAUACGAGAGCUGUUCUGCGGAAUUCUGGUCCCCCCAAGAAACAGAAGUCCAUUAGGGAUGCCAGUGCUUACGUCAUCUAACCAAUGAAACGUCUCUCCCUGUAAGCACGAUGGUAAAGGAGCACGUGGAAAGGACAAGCGCUCUUGGUCCAGCUGGCUGCUCUGAACCUUCUGGAUCGAGAUGCAGACCUGUCAGCUCCUUCUGAAGCACCCUGUCUGCCUAAAUGCCACCGUGCUUGUCACGACAGUAACAGACGAAACCUCUGAAACUAAAGGAAACUGGCAGAAUGUUGGCUUAAAUAACCUGCUUACACGUACACAGCCGGGAACUGACAAAGCUUGAAUUUCAAUUGCAACAAUCUAAACCAUCAUUUAAAAUUGGAAUCUAGCAAAGUCACAGAGCAUGAGUGAUGGCUGUUCCUGGUUGUCGACUACAUCUGGAAUGAACUACAAUCCGGAAAUGGAGGGCAUACCUGUGAUCCAGAUCUUGAGAGUGGAUGGCACAAGCUCUGACAGGAGAUGACACACACUUUUGAUUCAGAUCUUGAGGCACAGUGACCAUGCAAAGCUUAGGCCCAGACAGGAGUUGCUUUAAUCCCAGGAGACUGAGGCAAGGAGAUCUGAUUUCAAGGCCAGCUUGGGACUGUGAGCUCCAAAUCCAGGCAUGGUGGUACACACAUCUGGGCCAUACCUUCUGCUGAAGCCUAUAUAAGGACAUUAGAAGAAAGAAGACUCACUCUUCUUCGCAUGCUUGCACUUACUGGCCAGCAUAUCCAUUGGAACCUACUUCUUCGGGGGAGUCCAGUGUAAACAGAAGACCAGCUAAAACAGCUAACCUUGUGGGACUGAGCAACUACUAGACGCUUGGACUUCCCAUUCACAGCUGCCCAUUGUUGGGUUAGUUGGACUACAGACUGUAAG